rnacentral:rRNA from 1 species
UACGUAGGGUGCAAGCGUUGUCCGGAAUUAUUGGGCGUAAAGAGCUCGUAGGCGGUCUGUCGCGUCUGCUGUGAAAACUCAGGGCUUAACCCUGAGCUUGCAGUGGGUACGGGCAGACUAGAGUGCGGUAGGGGAGACUGGAAUUCCUGGUGUAGCGGUGAAGUGCGCAGAUAUCAGGAGGAACACCGGUGGCGAAGGCGGGUCUCUGGGCCGUAACUGACGCUGAGGAGCGAAAGCGUGGGGAGCGAACAGG